rnacentral:rRNA from 1 species
UACGGAGGGUGCGAGCGUUGUCCGGAAUCACUGGGCGUAAAGGGCGCGUAGGUGGCUCGGUAAGUAGGGGGUGAAAUCUUGCGGCUCAACCGCAAGGCUGCCUUCUAAACUGCCAGGCUUGAGCACAGUAGAGGCAGGUGGAAUUCCCGGUGUAGCGGUGGAAUGCGUAGAGAUCGGGAAGAACAUCGGUGGCGAAGGCGGCCUGCUGGGCUGUUGCUGACACUGAGGCGCGACAGCGUGGGGAGCAAACAGG